UACAGGGGGGGCAAGCGUUGUUCGGAAUUACUGGGCGUAAAGGGCUCGUAGGCGGCCAACUAAGUCCGACGUGAAAUCCCCAGGCUUAACCUGGGAACUGCGUCGGAUACUGGAUGGCUUGAAUUCGGGAGAGGGAUGCAGAAUUCCAGGUGUAGCGGUGAAAUGCGUAGAUAUCUGGAGGAAUACUGGUGGCGAAGGCGGCAUCCUGGACCGACAUUGACGCUGAUGAGCGAAAGCUAGGGGAGCAAACGGG
rnacentral:rRNA from 1 species